rnacentral:rRNA from 1 species
UGGGGAAUAUUGGACAAUGGGCGAAAGCCUGAUCCAGCCAUGCCGCGUGUGUGAAGAAGGUCUUCGGAUUGUAAAGCACUUUAAGUUGGGAGGAAGGGCAUUAACCUAAUACGUUAGUGUUUUGACGUUACCGACAGAAUAAGCACCGGCUAACUCUGUGCCAGCAGCCGCGGUAAUACAGAGGGUGCAAGCGUUAAUCGGAAUUACUGGGCGUAAAGCGCGCGUAGGUGGUUUGUUAAGUUGGAUGUGAAAUCCCCGGGCUCAACCUGGGAACUGCAUUCAAAACUGACUGACUAGAGUAUGGUAGAGGGUGGUGGAAUUUCCUGUGUAGCGGUGAAAUGCGUAGAUAUAGGAAGGAACACCAGUGGCGAAGGCGUCCACCUGGACGAAUACUGACACUGAGGUGCGAAAGCGUGGGGAGCAAACA